UUCAUUUGAUGUUAUAGUACAGAGUCUCAAAACAUUCUCACGACCAAAACCCAAAGGCUGGAGUUGUUUGGACCAGGCACCUCCAAAGGUCAUCAGUGCUGAAGAGGAGGGCGUUGAUCACACUGAGGAGGGUCACCAUGUAGGGGACGUUAUCUGUGCUUUCCAGCUCAUUCAUGAUCACACUGAAGCGAUACUGCUGAGUCUUCACAGCCUGCAAGGGUCAAUUGCCCAACCCACUCAUUCCAUGCCUUUUCCAGGUUUAUCAUGACUGUAUGAACCCUGAAUUCACGAAUGUGCCUCCAAAUGAAGAAGUGAUUUACCUUGUGA